rnacentral:pre_miRNA from 1 species
UUAAGCUGUGGGUUCUACCCUAUUCUGACCCUUGACUUGUCCAAUCAGAGUGUCCGGGGUCGGUGUAGGCUAAAACCCAGGCUGUA